rnacentral:snRNA from 2 species
UGGAAAUAUAGUCCGUUUGGGGAUAUCCGAUACGAUAUAGAGAAUAUUAGCAUGCCUUUGAGCAAGGAUGACACGCACAAAUCAAAAAAUGGUUAAAAAAUAUUU